rnacentral:hammerhead_ribozyme from 1 species
AUCCAACUGACGAGUUCCAAAUAGGACGAAAUGCACUUCCUGGAU